rnacentral:rRNA from 1 species
CAAUAGCGUAUAUUAAAGUUGUUGCAGUUAAAAAGCUCGUAGUUGGAUUUCGGGGUGGCCUGGCUGGUCCGCCGCAAGGUGAGUACUGGUCAGCCGCCCUUCCUCUCGAAAGCCCCGACUGCUCUUUACUGCAGUGGUCGGGUAGUUAGGGACGUUUACUUUGAAAAAAUUAGAGUGUUCAAGGCAGGCUAUCGCCUGAAUACAUUAGCAUGGAAUAAUGGAAGAGGACCUCGGUCCUAUUUUGUUGGUUUCUAGGGCCGAAGUAAUGAUUAAGAGGGACAGUUGGGGGCAUUCGUAUUUAAUUGUCAGAGGUGAAAUUCUUGGAUUUAUGAAAGACGAACUAGUGCGAAAGCAUUUGCCAAGGAUGUUUUCAUUAA